rnacentral:tRNA from 1 species
GGGCCGGUAGUCUAGCGGAAGGAUGCCCGCCUUGCACGCGGGAGAUCCCGGGUUCGAAUCCCGGCCGGUCCACCA